UACGUAGGGUGCAAGCGUUAAUCGGAAUUACUGGGCGUAAAGCGUGCGCAGGCGGUUUUGUAAGACAGAGGUGAAAUCCCCGGGCUCAACCUGGGAACUGCCUUUGUGACUGCAAGGCUGGAGUACGGCAGAGGGGGAUGGAAUUCCGCGUGUAGCAGUGAAAUGCGUAGAUAUGCGGAGGAACACCGAUGGCGAAGGCAAUCCCCUGGGCCUGUACUGACGCCCAUGCACGAAAGCGUGGGGAGCAAACAGG
rnacentral:rRNA from 1 species